GUCUCUGAUGAUGAUUAGUUGAAAAACUUUCGUUCUUCUGAUAAUAGAUCAUGAGGAAUGCUUUGGAGACCUGAACUGAAGAGAC
rfam:Vitis vinifera, whole genome shotgun sequence of line PN40024, unoriented chromosome 1, chr1